UGAUCGANUUAUUANANAAUUUCUCUGUCAUAAAACCUAGACAUAUGAAAUCGGUUACGGCAUUAUGUAUUAUUAUUAACCAUGUAUACUCUCAAUCUGCUUUGNACACGAUUAUCCAGUUCACAAAUGCUUUUUAUAAACCUGAAGCCCCAUGGAUUGCGCUUGUGCUUAAAAAAGUAAAUCUACGUCUGUCUCAAAUCAAGAAGCACAAAAACAAUUUCAUGCAACUUUUGGACAUAUCAAGUAGCGCAAAAGUAGAAUAUGACGUUUUCAAAUACGUAAUAGU